GAUGAACGCUAGCUACAGGCUUAACACAUGCAAGUCGAGGGGUAACAAGAGAAAAGCUUGCUUUUCUUGUUGACGACCGGCGCACGGGUGAGUAACGCGUAUCCAACCUGCCCAUAACUAGGGAAUAACCUUGCGAAAGUAAGACUAAUACCCUAUAAUUUCCUUUGAAGGCAUCGGAUUAGGAAUAAAGAUUUAUCGGUUAUGGAUGGGGAUGCGUCUGAUUAGCUUAUUGGCGGGGUAACGGCCCACCAAGGCAACGAUCAGUAGGGGUUCUGAGAGGAAGGUCCCCCACAUUGGAACUGAGACACGGUCCAAACUCCUACGGGAGGCAGCAGUGAGGAAUAUUGGUCAAUGGGCGGAAGCCCGAACCAGCCAAGUAGCGUGCGGGAUGACGGCCCUAUGGGUUGUAAACUGCCUUUAUACAGGAAUAAAGUUAGCCACGUGUGGUUAUUUGUAGGUACUGUAUGAAUAAGGACCGGCUAAUUCCGUGCCAGCCGCCGCGGUAA
rnacentral:rRNA from 1 species